AGACUUUGAUCUGGCUCAGGAUGAACGCUGGCGGCGUGCCUAACACAUGCAAGUCGAGCGAACUAAUUUAACAGAAGCUUUCGGGUGGAAGUUAAUGCGGUUAGCGGCGGACGGGUGAGUAACGCGUGGGCAACCUACCCUGUACAGGGGGAUAACAAUGGGAAACCAUUGCUAAUACCCCAUAACACCUUUAAAGGGCAUCCUUUGAAGGUCAAAGAAUUUCGGUAUAGGAUGGGCCCGCGUCUGAUUAGCUAGUUGGUAAGGUAACGGCUUACCAAGGCAACGAUCAGUAGCCGGCCUGAGAGGGUGAUCGGCCACACUGGAACUGAGACACGGUCCAGACUCCUACGGGAGGCAGCAGUGGGGAAUAUUGCACAAUGGGGGAAACCCUGAUGCAGCAACGCCGCGUGAGCGAUGAAGGCUUUCGAGUCGUAAAGCUCUGUCCUAAGGGAAGAUAGUGACGGUACCUUAGGAGGAAGCCCCGGCUAACUACGUGCCAGCAGCCGCGGUAAUACGUAGGGGGCAAGCGUUAUCCGGAAUCAUUGGGCGUGAAGGGUGCGUAGGCCGGCCCCUAUGGGUCAGAGGUUAAAGGCUACGGCUCAACCGUAGUAAGCCUUUGAAACUGU
rnacentral:rRNA from 1 species